AGGAAUUGGGAUGCAACACCUUAUCAUUUUACUUUAAAGGGCACGUUUUCCCUGGCUUUAAGUCGUAACUUGUAAGCUGUACAACUCCGCAGUCCACACUCAUGGUCAUGGGAUGGAGGGCUACUGGAGGAGUGCAUGACAGUUGACACACAACACAAAACCAAUCCACAGCCAGCCACAUGUCAUAUCCCAUUAGAUUUCCCGCCCCCUUUUGAAGCCUAACAACUCGGAAGAAAUCACAGAACUCUUUCAAGGGUUGUGAUUCCUUGAAAAGAUUACUUAUGUCAGCAUUCCAGCCAGGGUUUAUGGCUGAUUUUCUAUGCUUUCCUGCAUAUGCGGUAUCCAAUUCCUAAAUGCUAUCUAUGGUUGUUGGGCAUGUAGGUAGUUUUCUAAGCUUUGAUGCAUAUGGGUUUCUAUUUUUCUUGUUUUAAAGUUUUUGUUAUUUGCACUUAUGGAUUCCUCCUGACAUUUUGAUUUCUCUUUGCAUUUAUUUGUUUGGGUCUUUGUUUCUACAGAUUUCACCUUUUUUCAUCGUUCCGGUUUGUUUGGUAGUUUACAAACUAUGAAGAACCUAGAAUAUUAGGUCAUCUUCUGCAGCCAUGUUGCUUGUAAGCACCAAAAACUUCUGGCACCUAGGGUCUUUUCUUCACUGUGAUAGGGUUGAGAGAUGAUAUAGUGGUUGUAGUUCAACGUUUUCAUUCUUGUCAGUUACUGACAGUCGAUGGUUCCUCAUCAAUCAUACAAGGCUCCAUUUCAUUAAGAAUUCUUACUUUGGGUAAUUAUCUUAAGGAGUUGUAGAAUUUUGCAUUUAACUAGGAAACCUUGUAAUUUCCAGAAUUGCAGGUCAUGUAAAAGCUCUGGCUUAAGGAGAAAUUCUUGCAACACUGACUUAAAUAAGUACUUAUGGUUUUAGAUGAGAUCAAGAGUUUGAACAUGGUAUGUGCUACUAUGAUUUGGGGCUAUUCUUCUAACUGCUCCCUUAUUUAGCACUCUUGUUUUUCUUCUGGUUUCCUUUCUGGAUAUAUCUUGACUAAACUUGAAUUCCACAAGUAUUUAGGUUAGAUAUUCUGCUUCUCAAGAUGGCUGAUAAGGUAUUAACAGGAAAGCCAAUAGAAAGAUUUAUGGACUUGUGUUGUAGGGAAACUUCUGGCAGACGGCACCAAAUGACAUAGCCAAGGAUUCUGACCUGAUUAUAGGGAGUCUGACAAAAGAAAUGAUGAGGAAGGUUGUUAAGGGGAGAUCUAAGGGAGGUAAAUAUAGAGGAACAGAAAGCUUGACAGAAAAUUGUACUGAUAAUUUUAAGGGAAAAGAAAGUACUAAACAGAUGACUAUGAAAGGUAACUCCAAGGCAGAGUGCUCUAAGCAGGAGGAGAGUCAGACUGGUGAAAGGGUUCCCAUUGGCAAUGGACAGACAGAGGUAGACAACACUGUCCAGAAAGAGGACAACAAGAACAUAGACACUCCAAUGAUGCAAAAGAGGGGUGCAGAUGGAGAAACAGUUUGUGCGUAUUUCUCAUCUUCACAGAAAAGUUAGUCUAGGCUUCAUCCUAGGAAAGAGGUUCCUGCUUUCCGCAUGGUUAAUCUGGAGGAGAAUGACAAUGAAUUUGUAGUUGGCAAAAGAGUCAAGGUCUACUGGUCAGGUUCACGCAGAUGGUUCACAGGACGCAUUGUUGCUUUUGAUAACAAGAAUUGCCUACAUAGGAUUCUGUAUGAAGAUGGUGACAAAGAGGUGUUGGACUUAAGAAAAGAACGGUUUGAACUCAAGGUAAUGCCAACUGACAGUUUCAAGUUGAAAAGGGAGCUGUGUUCUGAAAGAAAAGUUGGUAGUUUAGAUUCUGCCAACAGUAGGAAUAUGUGAUGAAAGAGAACUCAAGAAAUGUUAAUGGUGCAGCAGUGACAAAUGUUAAUAUCUUUUCAGAAACUGCUAAAAGAGCUACUAAAGAAUUUGAAGCAGAAGUUACUGUAGUGAAGUCUCAUUCUGACUUCUGGAGCAUGGGAUCAGACAACUGUGACAUUAAAGAAAGAGGGAAAGCUGUGAAAGAUGACUUCCUGAAGAUUAUCAUUGCUGAAUUAGCAAAAAGGCUGAAGAGUUCAAGGAAAAAACUUAUGCAAAAAGCUCUAAGAAUGAGGACCUCCAAGUCUUCAAGCAGGAAAGAUAGCAACUGUGGGGUGAAGCAACCUGCAGAUAUAUAGGCUCACAUGCAUCAUGAUGAAGUGAAGACAACCAAACUGGAUUUUGAUAGCAACAAUGAAGAUAACCAAGAAGCUAAAUUAUUAGAGGAAGAGUAGAGAGAAUGAAGCUCUUGCUAAGGAAGCAAAUGAAAUAGAAGGAGUGUCAAAUGCAGCUCAAACUACCCAGUUCAAUUUCAUGGCAAAGAACAGAACUGCUCUAGAAGCAUGUAAGAUUAGUGGAGAUGCGGCUAAUGAGGUAGAAAAAUCUGAUGAAACAGUAACAGAUGAAGAAGAUUCUAUUACUUCUCUCUUUCUCAAAUCAUCACAAUGUGAAAGAUGAAAAGAGAAGCUGGCUGCACAUGUAGAAUUUGCUGUUUAACUUGAAAAAGGUGAAGAGGAGCUAUUGAGUGGAAGAAGCAAUGUAGUAACUAAUGAUAUCUGUUAUGUGGAAGAAGCUGGUGGGAAGCCAUGAGGAUGCACUAAAAAGGAGGUGAAAUUAUAGAAAGGAGCCAUUUCUUCAGAAGAAGAAAUGAAGAUGAGAGAUCAUGCCGGUGUCUUGAUGGGAACAAAAGUCUGAUUUGUUACAAACCCAAAUGAAGAAAGGUAGGUAAGGCAAAAGCAGCAACAAGAAGCAAAGACAAACUCGUCAAAAUGGAAUGAACAGUUAAGAAAAGGUGAGUAUUUUUUCCAUUUCCUCAAGGAUGCAUGGCUGCUAAUAAAUUAAAUUAAAACAUAGUAUAUUGCUUGCUUGCUUUUUUGAAAUGAGGGCAUAGUUUGGUUCAGUCUUUUAUUAUAGUUAAUAUCACACACAACUUCAUCAACUGAUGCUGAGAAUUCUCUUUGUCUCUCUCUCUUCCUUCCUUAGAGAUAACCAACCUCAGAACAAAAUGCAUUUACAGCCACUUUGCAUCUCCUAGGGCCUUUUCUAUGUUCCAAAUGUAUUAAUUUAGCUUCUUUUCUAGGUAGCUUACUUGCCAACUUCUUGACUUGGAACCAUUUUCUAGCACCAAAUUUCAACAUAAAAAUUGUUAUCAUUCCAUAAAAAGGACUUAUGCAAAGGCUAAAAGCAAGAUUAAAUCAUUACAACUGUUGAUAGAUUAUACUUAAAGCCAGAUUAAGUGAUUCCUUAGGGUUGAGUUGAGAUUAUACUUGCUAAAUUAGAGAUGCUUUUAUAGAGUAUUUUGUGAACCCUAACUUGACUGCUACUGUAUCGGCUGCAAUUUCUCUGCUGGUGCUAUGCAGUUAUACCAUGUUAUUUUGUUUUCUACCACGGAGAGCAUGUAGCUAAAAAUAUAUUAAAUUAGGGGCUUUCUACAAUAUGUCGCAGGUUUGACUUAAAUGUACAUAAAUCCUCCUGAUAAAAGAAAUCAUUAGAGCUUUUUACAAAAUUAGAUUGAAGGCAACAUGAAAAGAUGAAAAAGUUGAAUUCAUGCAUAUGAGAUAUCAAUUCAGCUAAAACAAUUAAACUUUAAAUAAACUUGAAAAUCAUUAUAAAUGAACCAUUUGGAACUUACAGGAACAUCUGAAUUUGAUAGAACAGAGGUGGCAAUGUCUAACCUUUUUGUCCUUCACUGCAAAACACUUGAUAGAAACCUUUGCUAUGUCUGAACCUGCAAUCUAGGAAUUCUUUUUUUUUUUUUUCUGUUUACUAAUGAACAAAUCAGUCCAGAGUGGUAGCCUGUCAGUGGCAGAUCCUGGUUUCGAUUUUAUCAUAAAAUUGAUUGUCUUUAUUUAACUAUGAAAUGGUCACCAAGAAGCAAUAAUAUAGUUUACAAGAUUACAGAAACACAGAAGACAUGUAAUUAAUUUUGACAAUCUGUACCUUGUUUUCUUAUGACCACUAUAUGACUCAACUUUUUUAUCAUAUCAAAGUUUAAUUUCAGUCAAUAUUGAAAAUUGCUAGUUAUAUGCCUGAAAUAUUAGAAAGUGUCAGUGUGGUGUUUUGGUUAUCAAAGUUAUAAAUCAGAAAUCACCAUUACGGACCACAUAAUUUAGAGAACUUGAACCUGCAUGUGUGCAUCAGUUUUCACACUUUGUGAGUGUACUUUAGUUUGUGGAGACUACUGGUUGACUGGAUGAAAUGAUACAAUCACUUUCACGGGACUUUAAUUGAUUGUCAGAGAAGACCUACAAAUGCAAAAAGGAAGUAGAAUGAAUAGUUGAUUGGCUAAAAAAAAUAAUAAUUGACAAAAUUGUCCAACAAAUGUGAAGAGAUUAAUUACAA